GUUAAGCGACUAAGCGUACACGGUGGAUGCCCUGGCAGUCAGAGGCGAUGAAGGACGUGCUAAUCUGCGAUAAGCGUCGGUAAGGUGAUAUGAACCGUUAUAACCGGCGAUUUCCGAAUGGGGAAACCCAGUGUGUUUCGACACACUAUCAUUAACUGAAUCCAUAGGUUAAUGAGGCGAACCGGGGGAACUGAAACAUCUAAGUACCCCGAGGAAAAGAAAUCAACCGAGAUUCCCCCAGUAGCGGCGAGCGAACGGGGAGCAGCCCAGAGCCUGAAUCAGUGUGUGUGUUAGUGGAAGCGUCUGGAAAGGCGCGCGAUACAGGGUGACAGCCCCGUACACAAAAAUGCACAUGCUGUGAGCUCGAUGAGUAGGGCGGGACACGUGGUAUCCUGUCUGAAUAUGGGGGGACCAUCCUCCAAGGCUAAAUACUCCUGACUGACCGAUAGUGAACCAGUACCGUGAGGGAAAGGCGAAAAGAACCCCGGCGAGGGGAGUGAAAAAGAACCUGAAACCGUGUACGUACAAGCAGUGGGAGCACGCUUAGGCGUGUGACUGCGUACCUUUUGUAUAAUGGGUCAGCGACUUAUAUUCUGUAGCAAGGUUAACCGAAUAGGGGAGCCGAAGGGAAACCGAGUCUUAACUGGGCGUUAAGUUGCAGGGUAUAGACCCGAAACCCGGUGAUCUAGCCAUGGGCAGGUUGAAGGUUGGGUAACACUAACUGGAGGACCGAACCGACUAAUGUUGAAAAAUUAGCGGAUGACUUGUGGCUGGGGGUGAAAGGCCAAUCAAACCGGGAGAUAGCUGGUUCUCCCCGAAAGCUAUUUAGGUAGCGCCUCGUGAAUUCAUCUCCGGGGGUAGAGCACUGUUUCGGCAAGGGGGUCAUCCCGACUUACCAACCCGAUGCAAACUGCGAAUACCGGAGAAUGUUAUCACGGGAGACACACGGCGGGUGCUAACGUCCGUCGUGAAGAGGGAAACAACCCAGACCGCCAGCUAAGGUCCCAAAGUCAUGGUUAAGUGGGAAACGAUGUGGGAAGGCCCAGACAGCCAGGAUGUUGGCUUAGAAGCAGCCAUCAUUUAAAGAAAGCGUAAUAGCUCACUGGUCGAGUCGGCCUGCGCGGAAGAUGUAACG
rnacentral:rRNA from 1 species